GCUGCCUGGCCUGCUAUGUUCUUCCAGCCUCCUGUUUGUCAACCUUGGAUUCCAGAAUCUGCAGUUUUUUUGUUUCUGAGUGGAUAAGAAAGCAUUAAUCCAUGAACUAGGCUGAAGCAUUGCCCACGCUGAUAUGAAACACAGCCACUGGGUGGAGCAUUGGGUAGUCUUGGGCAGUUACAGGAAAGUAGUGGGUGAGAGGCAAAAAUCGUCUCAACAAGACAGGGAAAGGAUGUAAAUUGUCCAUUUUGAUGAAAUUUACCUAGAAGGAACAAAACAGAUGAGCCUCUACUCUUCAUUCUUUGAUCUGGCUUCCAUGCACAUCUCCCAAGGAAAAGAACAUCAAAAC